CCAAUAGCGUAUAUUAAAGUUGUUGCAGUUAAAAAGCUCGUAGUUGAAUUUCGGGAUCAAUAUGUCGGUCGUGCUUCGGUACGUACUUGCAUUAUUGGUUUCUCCCUUCUGAAGAACCAUGAUGUCAUUAAUUUGGUGUCUUGGGGAAUCAGGACUGUUACUUUGAAAAAAUUAGAGUGUUUAAAGCAGGCUAACGCUUGAAUACAUUAGCAUGGAAUAAUGAAAUAGGACGUUUGAUUCUAUUUUGUUGGUUUCUAGGAUCGACGUAAUGAUUAAUAGGGAUAGUUGGGGGCAUUAGUAUUCAAUUGUCAGAGGUGAAAUUCUUGGAUUUAUUGAAGACUAACUACUGCGAAAGCAUUUGCCAAGGAUGUUUUCAUUAAUCAAGAACGAAAGUUAGGGGAUCGAAGACGAUCAGAUACCGUCGUAGUCUUAACCAUAAACUAUGCCGACUAGGGAUCGGAUGAUGUUAUUUUUGAUGACUCAUUCGGCGCCUUACG
rnacentral:rRNA from 1 species